UCCAGAGACAAUGGAGAUGAGGACUGGAAAGACCAGCUCACAAAUACAGAUAUUUUUAAAAAUUAAAAAAUACGGGUCUGUAAUCUUGGUGGACAAUACAGAGCUCUGUGUGUUCGCUGUAAGGGCAGACCAACAAGAUAAUAUUCCUACUUUUGAAUGAACUGUCUUUACUAGAGGCUGUUCUUCCAGUUGUCAAGGAGAAACUGGUAACUGGAGUGGGACAGUAGGGACACAGUAUAUUCGGGAAUCGGGUUGGGACUCCUAAAGGAUUUGGCUCGUGUUGUGACCACUGAGAUGAACACAGAUCUUUGGUAAUCUGAUGGGU